rnacentral:rRNA from 1 species
GUUGGAAUUGCUAGUAAUCGCGGAUCAGCAUGCCGCGGUGAAUACGUUCCCGGGCCUUGUACACACCGCCCGUCACACCAUGGGAGUUUGUAACACCCGAAGUCAGUAUCCUAACCGCAAGGGGGGAGCUGCCGAAGGUGGGAUAAGCGACUGGGGUGAAGUCGUAACAAGGUAAC